AUCCCGAUUCCGGAUCAAUGGGUAGCUCGACAUCACGUGCAACGGAAGAGGGUUUAGGGUUCCUCGGUGUCCGGUGCAAUGGAGGCGAGCUCCCCGGUUGGAUCCCGGAUUCGAACUAAGAAGAGUCUGAAUCCGGUCGACUCCAAUCAACAUCCCAGAAAUUUCUUUCCAUCUCUUCGUCCGAUGGGUUUCCUCUACAACACACCUCGUGAUUUGUUGCUUAGAAGGAUAUCGUGAUCACUCUGUUUCUUGUCGAAUGGAAAGGAUAUGUUGAUCCCUCUUAUUCGUGUUGAAUUUGCUGAAGUUUAUGUUUGUCUGUUGUCAUGUCAAAGGAAAGUAACAGGAUCUUUAUUAGUUUCAACUUUGUUAUCUACAUUCCAAUUAGAUGCGCUUGCGAGACGAGAGGAUUCUGACUGGUGUUGGCUCAUGCUUUUUCUUUGAGAUAACAUCGUCAAGUUUCUAAAAAUUAUACCUUGAUUGGCAAAAGAAUUCAUAAUUAAUUGUUCUAUUUGGUUUGCUUCUGAAAAAUAUCCGACAAGUAUCAUUAUCUGAUUCAUAUAUGAUAUGGAUUCCACAUGCAUUUUGAAUUGUGUAUGUUCUGUAGAUUGCUCUGAAGCUGUAUAUUUGUUUUGUCCAUGGGAUCAACUGAUUAUUUCCACAUGGAGUUUGGGCUUCUCUUUAGAGCCUCUCUUUCCCUGCUCACUUUAUCAUGUCAUCAUGUUGCUGCUCUGUUUUUCAAUAUUGUUACAAGAAACUAUUCCAGUCUGUAGAAUAAUUUGAUUAUCUUUGUCCUUUUCCUAUCCUUCUCUUCUUUCCUUUUCCUAUCAUGACAUUUUGCUCUUCAGCUUUCAUGUCAAAUAAUGUAACUGAUUGAAGAAAUGCUUCAAUAACACAGUAUACUGACCAAAAGAUUUUGGCAGUUGAGAGGAAGUACCUUGAGGGGCAACACAAGCUGGUGUAUCAAUUUGAAGAUAAACCUCACUGCAGAUCUCCUUACCUUUUCAGAAGUGUAAGCAUGACAAAGUCUUCCAGUGUUUACUGAUCAGGUUCACAUGGGUGCCCGUGAUUCAGAUUUUGGUUCAAUAACUACCAUUUGCAUAGUUAGCCUUAACUGAAACUGUUUAUUCAGUUGAUAGAAAUAUAAAUAGAUCUGCUGGAUAGAAAUAUAGAGCUGAGCAUUUAUAUAUUAUCAUUUUGUCUUGCUUCCAUCUUUCGUUUAAACAUCCCUCCAUCUUUCAUCCAGCCAUCGACUGGGUCAUUGGCUUCAUCUGAUUAGAAUCUUGGCUUGAAGUUUGUCAUUGCUAUUGGACAGGAUACAUCAGGAGUUUUUCAUGAUGUAUAGAUUCCAAAGCCAUGGACAAGGGAGGUUUAUUGGCACUGCAAAAAAUCAAGCAAAUUGGUCAUCAAGUUAUAUGCAUGAAUGGCUUUGGCGCAUUAACUGGCCAUCAUAAAUUCAUGAUGAUACAUUUCUGAUUUGCCAUUGCAACAGGAUCAUGAGUUGUCUCAAUCUGAAACUGAGCUUUUACCAACUAUCAAGCCUCCAAGAACAGGCUGUGGAUCUGUGCAACAGAAGCUACCACAUGCAAGUGCAGUCCCCAUCGGACUUCUCAAGAGGUCUACGUUUCAUUUCUCCCCUCCAAGAACAUACUUUUCUGAGUGUACAGUGGGGUGCAGAGCCUGCAGCGACAUCUACAUCCAGUCUCCAAAUCAUUAUCAUGUGUUUUUUGCUUUAUGCCUUCCUUUUCUGGCGAGAUUAUGGUUGAUUGAGUUGUGCCAGCUGAUCAAAUUGGCUCAUCUGUUUCAUCUUAUGGCAAUCCACGUUUCUGGUGGUGUGGUUUUGCCAAGUACAUAGGUUUUCUGCUGCAUGGAAGCCAUCCAAAGAAGCCACAUGGUAGCUGCAUUGCUAAUUCAAAUCCGGCCUCAUGGAGUUUUCCUCAUAAUCAAGAAUAAAAGUUGAAAAGUCUUUAUGCUGACUCAACUUGAGAAUGAUACAAAGAGAUUCCUUGUCUUCUAUAAAGAUUAGUACCAAAGUUUUUUCUCCUUGGUCAACUGGAGGACAGCCAAGUAUUCACUCACAGUGGAGCCCAAGCAAUAAGUGAUCAAGGAAAAUGACUCCCUCGUAACUUCCGGCUUCACAAGUCAACCAGCACAAGAGAUGAAGAUAGUACAUGAUGGCCUGAUGAUGAGAGUAACGAGCAUGAUCCAAGAAUCCAGCGCUAAUACAGCCCUCAGAUUUGUUACUCUGCUUUAAGUUCAGGACUUUUGUGUCUCUUUGUUAGCCAAAUUCCUGUACUUUGGAAAGAAGAACUCUGCAUUUCAACUACAACUGGGCUCCAAAUUAUAAAAGCCUAACUACUUUUCUGUGU